GACGAACGCUGGCGGCGUGCUUAACACAUGCAAGUCGAGCGGUAAGGCCCUUUCGGGGGUACACGAGCGGCGAACGGGUGAGUAACACGUGGGUGACCUGCCCUCAGCUCUGGGAUAAGCCUGGGAAACCGGGUCUAAUACUGGAUAUGACUCCAUGACGCAUGUUGUGGGGCGGAAAGCCUUGUGCGGCUGAGGAUGGGCCCGCGGCCUAUCAGCUUGUUGGUGGGGUGANGGCCUACCAAGGCGGCGACGGGUAGCCGGCCUGAGAGGGCGACCGGCCACACUGGGACUGAGACACGGCCCAGACUCCUGG
rnacentral:rRNA from 1 species